UUCCAGACUCCUACGGGAGGCAGCAGUGGGGAAUAUUGCACAAUGGGGGAAACCCUGAUGCAGCGACGCCGCGUGAGCGAAGAAGUAUUUCGGUAUGUAAAGCUCUAUCAGCAGGGAAGAAAAUGACGGUACCUGACUAAGAAGCCCCGGCUAAAUACGUGCCAGCAGCCGCGGUAAUACGUAUGGGGCAAGCGUUAUCCGGAUUUACUGGGUGUAAAGGGAGCGCAGGCGGCUUGGCAAGUCUGAUGUGAAAGGCCGGGGCUCAACCCCAGGACUGCAUUGGAAACUGUUAGGCUGGAGUGUCGGAGAGGUAAGCGGAAUUCCUAGUGUAGCGGUGAAAUGCGUAGAUAUUAGGAGGAACACCAGUGGCGAAGGCGGCUUACUGGACGACAACUGACGCUGAGGCUCGAAAGCGUGGGGAGCAAACAGGAUUAGAUACCCCAGUAC
rnacentral:rRNA from 1 species